GUUGGGUGUGGUGGUGCACACCUGUAAUCCCAGCAACUUUGGAGACUGAAGCAAGAGGAUCAUAAGUUCAAGGCCAGCUUGAGCAAUUAGUGAGAUUCUGUCU
rnacentral:sRNA from 1 species